rnacentral:rRNA from 1 species
UACGGGGGGGAGCAAGCGUUGUUCGGAUUUACUGGGCGUAAAGGGCGCGUAGGCGGCACCGCAAGUCGACUGUGAAAUCUCCGGGCUUAACUCGGAAAGGUCAGCCGAUACUGCGGGGCUAGAGUGCAGAAGGGGCAACUGGAAUUCCCGGUGUAGCGGUGAAAUGCGCAGAUAUCGGGGAGGAACACCGGUGGCGAAGGCGGUUCUCUGGGCCUUACCUGACGCUGAGGAGCGAAAGCGUGGGGAGCGAACAGG